GUGGGGAAUCUUGCGCAAUGGGCGAAAGCCUGACGCAGCCAUGCCACGUGAAUGAUGAAGGUCUUAGGAUUGUAAAAUUCUUUCACCGGGGACGAUAAUGACGGUACCCGGAGAAGAAGCUCCGGCUAACUUCGUGCCAGCAGCCGCGGUAAUACGAAGGGGGCUAGCGUUGCUCGGAAUUACUGGGCGUAAAGGGCGCGUAGGCUGACAGCUUAGUCAGAGGUGAAAGCCCAGGGCUCAACCUUGGCAUUGCCUUUGAUACUGGCUGUCUUGAGUUUGGGAGAGGUGAGUGGAACUCCGAGUGUAGAGGUGAAAUUCGUAGAUAUUCGGAAGAACACCAGUGGCGAAGGCGACUCACUGGCCCAAUACUGACGCUGAGGCGCGAAAGCGUGGGGAGCAAACAGGAUUAGAAACCCCAGUAGUCC
rnacentral:rRNA from 1 species